GUGCUUCUUCAGCAGCACACAUACUAAAAUUAGAACAAUAUAGAGAAGAUUAGCAUGGCCCCUGCACAAGGAUGACACUCAAAUUCAUGAAGUAUUCUGUAUUUUA
ensembl:snRNA U6 U6 spliceosomal RNA